GACGAACGCUGGCGGCGUGCCUAAUACAUGCAAGUUGAGCGCUGAAGGUUGGUACUUGUACCAACUGGAUGAGCAGCGAACGGGUGAGUAACGCGUGGGGAAUCUGCCUUUGAGCGGGGGACAACAUUUGGAAACGAAUGCUAAUACCGCAUAAAAACUUUAAACACAAGUUUUAAGUUUGAAAGAUGCAAUUGCAUCACUCAAAGAUGAUCCCGCGUUGUAUUAGCUAGUUGGUGAGGUAAAGGCUCACCAAGGCGAUGAUACAUAGCCGACCUGAGAGGGUGAUCGGCCACAUUGGGACUGAGACACGGCCCAAACUCCUACGGGAGGCAGCAGUAGGGAAUCUUCGGCAAUAGACGAAAGUCUGACCGAGCAACGCCGCGUGAGUGAAGAAGGUUUUCGGAUCGUAAAAAUCUGUUGGUAGAGAAGAACGUUGGUGAGAGUGGAAAGCUCAUCAAGUGACGGUAACUACCCAGAAAGGGACGGCUAACUACGUG
rnacentral:rRNA from 1 species